rnacentral:lncRNA from 11 species
CUUUUCUGAAGAUGGGGUAGCAGCUUUCGGCAGUAAUUUAAAUGACAUUUCCUGUUCCCUUUUCAGGCCACUUCAUGGGGAAAAAAAGCACAGGGGAUUUUCCUUACAUAUACGACGAACGGAAUGAGUCCCCCUUCUCUUCGCUGUCCGAUAACAUCAAGCAGCUGGGAGACUAUUUGCAAUGGGAGGAGACGUUCAAGCAGUUCCUCAAGCUUCUAGAUGGGAACGAAAACCGAAGCUCUCAGGUUCUCAGGGAUGAAUUGCCAUUUUCUGCCAAGAACGCUUGGGAGGCAGAGGAUAACAGCAGUCUCAAAGACAUGAUGGAUUACCUGCUGCAAGCACUGGAUAGAAAAGAAACCUCGCCUAGUUGAAGCUGCUGUCACCUGGAACUGAAGGCAUAGAAUAAUAUCCUUAAGAGACUAUGUUUUCAUUAGCAUUUUGUUGUAUAUGAUAACUGAUGAAAUUCCUUUUGUGUUCAGCGAGAUUUUCUUUCCGUGUAAAAUAACCUGUUCCCUUGUAUUUCUAAUACCAAGGAUUUACACUCCCCAGCGGCUUCCCCCCUUGCAAGCAGCAUUUUCUUCUUUUUAACUGCUUUGUUGUACAUAAUUGUCAAUGAAGGGUCUUCCAAUUCUCUGACGGUACUUUGCUCUCUCUCUCUUUGUCCAUCCAGUCACUUCAUCUUUUAUGUUACACAAUCAAGCAAGAUUCACAAUAAAUAACUCUCUCUCUAAGACUGCUAGUGAGU